rnacentral:rRNA from 1 species
AUGAAAUUAUUUUGUACUUUUUCUGUAGGUGAUUUGGUAACCCAAACACAAGCAAGGCAAUUAGUAAGGUCCGAUGACCCUGCAUAUGCGUACUGUUUUGCCCCAAAUGUGAACAAGAAGUACCAUUUGCAGUGCAAUUUUUGUGACAAGCUAUUGAAAGGUGGAAUUACUAGAAUGAAGUACCAUCUUGCUUGCAUUACUGGCUUCAAUGGUGUUAAAUGUAAGAAGGUUCCAGAUGAUGUGAAGUAAGAGAUUAUUGCUUUUCUUACGAAGAAGAGUGGUGACAAGCAAAAGAAGAAGGAUGAAGUGCAAAGGGUUCGAUCUGCAAUUAAUAUAGAGAACUCAAAUGAUGAAAGGGGUAGUGGGGACGAUUCUGAC